rnacentral:rRNA from 1 species
UACGGGAGGCAGCAGUAGGGAAUAUUGCACAAUGGAGGGAACUCUGAUGCAGCGACGCCGCGUGAGUGAAGAAGUAUUUCGGUAUGUAAAGCUCUAUCAGCAGGGAAGAAAAUGACAGUACCUGACCAAGAAGCCCCGGCUAACUACGUGCCAGCAGCCGCGGUAAU